GUUUGUAUGUCAAGUUCACAUUUAUGCAUACAAGAAUGUCAUUGUUCUUGUGAAGUUGGUUCAUCCCAGUCUUGCCAUCUUUUGCUGGGUUUAGAAUUUUAUUUGCAAGACAUUAUAUUAAGAGUAGAAUAUGAAACUCCCGAGCACAUUGCUUCAACAUCCCAAGCUAUGAUAUGUAAUAAGCCACGUGGGACAAAAGUAAUUCCUGAAGAUGCAAGGUAUCUCACAUUCCAAAAACCUACAAAUAUUUUGAGAAGGAAGGCCCCCGUUGUAACAAAAAUUGCUCUUCAUAGCACUUCUGCGAUGUCGAAUGAAUAAGCAGAUGAUUUGCCCACAAAAUUACAGAAACUAGAAGAACCUUUUUAAAAGAUUGAUAAGAGCAUACCUUUAUCUUUUUUUAUUUCUACAGAGAAUACCAAUCCAGAAAUUACUAUAUUUGGUCAACAAAAUAGAGGAGGGAA